GUAGUAGUAGUAGUAGUAGUAGCAAAAAAAAAAUAAUAAUACGCAGUGUCGAAGAAGGGAAAAUUUUCACGGGCAAACUCGAGACGGUUCGCGAGAAGCCGUCUCGAGAGAUGAACCUUCGCGGUAGGGCGAAGAGUAGUAUUGUGAUUCGUACGAUGAUUACGAAGAGUGAUAAAAAGGUGUUGGUGAAUAUAACGAAUACGAAGACGAAGUCGAAGACGAAGUCACCGAAAAUAAUUAACGGAUUAACGGUAAUAAUAGUGCCGAGAGCGUGCGGAGAUAAGAAGAGAGGAAGAAGGACGACGAAGACGAAGAGGAUAGAAAACGUAAAAGCAGCAUGCCACCAGUGUUAGGAGGCGCGGCAAUGGCGGUCCUUCCGGUAAGCCCGCAGACGGCUACGCAGGGUAACCCGCACCACCACCACCAUCACGGUCAUCACGUACACCAAGGGCAAACGCAGGUUUUGAUCGCGGCCGCCGGCGCAGGCACGCAGGCUCAGCCGCAGCUGCUUUAUCAACCUUAUAAUCUGAUGCCGGCGACUGGUUCGCCGUCGCAUCAGCCACCCUUUCAGCAACAUCAUCAUCAGUAUCAACAUCAUCAACAUCAACAGCAACAACAAGCUCAACAGCAGCAGCAGCAACAACAACAGCAACAGCAACAACAUUCGUCGCCUCCACCGACGCAACAUCAACAACAACAACAACAACAGCAUCAACAUCAUCCGGGUGCCGCCCAACAACAGACCAGUUUUCUCACGAACGACGUUGGAAACGCCGUAACCACAGCUGCGUUGGCCUUGUAAGUUUCUUCUACAACCAAAACUUAUCUUAUUCCCGUUUCCGAGAUUAUUCUUUCAAGGUCUUUCGAUAUAUAUAUAUAUAUAUAUAUAUAUAUAUAUAUAUACAUAUAUAUAUCCGGGUGGAGGCGAGGGGUGAGGAGAAGAGCAAAGGGGCAAGGGCCGUCGUAAAAAAAAAAGAUGAAGAAAGAAAAAGGUAACAAUUUCUCUCGACGACGAGUUACGAAAGAAGAGCCUCGCUAUGGCCUGUGCUGGUAUGUACGAGUCGAGGUCGUUCAAGGUCGUUCGAUCGAGUUAAUCGUUCUUGCACAUUCGUGCCGAUAGUAAGUAAGAAACUAAGUAAAUAACUAUCGCUUUGAUCGAUAAUUAUAAUAGAUCGAUCGAUGAACUCUCCGGUGGGGUUUGUUGGAACGGAUAUCUCGAAUCGUUUAUCGAAUGUUUCGUCGAAAUUGAACGUUUAGCCGACGUUAUUUGAUAAUGCACGAUGGAUGGCAAGCGCAAGAACCGAUCGUUGUUAUCAUCGUUGUUGCUCGAACGAAUAAACGUUUAUCGUCCAAUAUUAUCCUAAAGUUUAGAAACACAACUUUGACGUUAUAUAAAUUAUUUUAUAUUUCGACGUCUACGUUGUGAUAUCGGAGAAUAUGAACGAUGAUUGCGAAGGAAUAAGGUCGAGAUAUGUGUUUGUAUUUGUUAAAAAAAUUCUAUCUGAUAGAUAUCGAAGUAACGUAAACUAUGAUCUAAACGGAACGACCAUUUGCCAUUUUAUUUUGGUAAUUUUAGUAACUCGAGAACGUCUUAUGUAAGGAUCGUCAUUUUAUACGAUUUCUUUUUUAUUCCUUUUUAACGAACGUUAAAUACCACAGUCUACAUUAUUUCGUAAUUAAUUCGUUACAAUUUAUACGCGCGUAAUUUUGGAUUGUCGUAAAAUUAAGCGUACCUAAUUCAACGUAAAUCGGAAGAAACGAUUCUUCGAGUUAUUGGGUCGUCGAUGAUACUUUUCAUCGCAGUACCAGUUGGUAACUGAGCUUAAGAUUGAAAGAUAGAAAGAAAAAAAGAAAGAAAGAGAGAGAGAGAGAGAGAGAGUUUAUAUUCGCAAAGCGCCCCUCAUAAAGAGCGUUUAUUUAUGUACGUCGGACUUUCGUUGUCGUCGACGACGUCCGUCGGCAAAUGGCGGACGUUAGACUCGAGAUUAUUCGAUCUUUGUCAUAGACUCGCGAUCUACGUCGG